GACAGCCAUAUCAUGUUGAAACAUCAGUUCCCAUAUGAUCACUGAAGUUUAGCAACAUUGAGUCUGGUCAGUACCUAGACGGGUGACCACUGGGGAAUAACCAAUGCAG